CUGCGCCACGAGUGGGAACCACAAUUAUUGGGCCUAAAGCGUCCGUAGCCGGUCAAGUAAAUCUUUUGUGAAAUCAUGGGGCUUAACCUUAUGACGUGCAGAAAACACUGCUUGACUUGGAACCGGGAGGAGUUAGAAGUAUGCUGAGGGGAGCGGUAAAAUGCUAUAAUCCUCGGUAGACUACCUGUGGCGAAGGCGUCUAACUAGAACGGAUUCGACGGUGAGGGACGAAAGCUAGGGGAGCGAACCGGAUUAGAUACCCGAGUAGUCC
rnacentral:rRNA from 1 species